UCCUGCAUAUUUACGCAUCGACUGUGUCAUUGCAUCACUGCUGCAUAACCUUUUGCGCAGCUAGGCAACUAUACUGAUGCAGGUGUCUUUUGCAGAUGGUCGCAUGCGGUUGGACACAUGGAGGAGAGAAUCAUUUUCGCAGUAUCCUCAAAACCGUGUCUUUGUGACACAACUGCUGACAGCUACAGGGACAUAAACACAAAAAAUACUGCUUGGAGACAAGGGUCCACGAUAGUAGGAUUGGCAGGUCAGUUUAGUAGUGAGCUUUUGCUAGAUGUGGCUAGUUAACGUCGCUUGCUUACCUAGCCAAUGAGGUGUGUGAAAGAAAGUCACAUAAAUUAUUCUAGUUACUACGCCUGAUAACUUUACCAAAUAAUCAUGUUUGAAAGAGUGUGAGUGUGUAUGUCAGAUAAAUAAUAAUAUAAAUGGUAGAUACUACUGUACCCCUGAUAAUUUGAUCAGAUAACCGUGUGUGUGUGUCUAUGUGUACAGUAGGUGACAUGUUCAUGAUAGCUAUCUAAUAACUAUAGUUAUGCUAGGUAAUGGUUUGGCUUAUCAUGUUCAUGUCUAUGUAGAAGAAGACUGUAGGAGGAAGUGGAGAGGACUCAGGGACAGGUAUCAGAGCGAGAGAAGGGCAGAGAAAGAGAAGAGGUCUGGGUCAGCAGCUUCAGGCCAGCAGCCUUGGCGCUUCUGCCACAUUCUUUCUUUUCUGGAUCCAUUUAUUGUGCCUAUGGCAACGAGUGGCAAUUUUACAGCCAGACCCUUUACGUCAUCCACAAGUGUGGGCGCCACCGGUGCAUCAAGACACUCUACGUCAUCUACAAGUGCGACCAUAGCCUCCACCCGUGCAGCGAGACCCUCUACAACAUCUACAUCAUCCACAAGUAUGACCACCACCGGUGCAGCCAUGGAAGAUGAUGAAAUGGUGAAAGCAUUACAGCCCAACCUGAUGCUCACAGGAAGGAGGAUGAAGAGACCCUCUUUGCCAUGAGCCUGGUGCCAACACUGAAGAGGCUGCCUCAGCAAAGAAAAGCAACAGUCAAGGUUAAAAUGUAUCAGCUGCUUUUCAAAGCUGAGUUCAAUGAGAUGGAGUUAAUUUAGCCGAGCAGCUCACAGGAAGGACAGGAAGAGGAGAGGAAGGACAGGAAGAGGAGAGGAAGGACAGGAAAGACAGGAAGAGGAGAGGAAGGACAGGAAGAGGAGUUGUCUGGUUUCUGUUUUGACCUCCCUCAUUGUACCUUUCUUUUCACACAUGUCAGUUCCGUUUAAAUAUAGUCAAUUCAUAAAGUCAUUUGUUUAUAAAUAUCACGCCCUGACCUUAGUUAUCUUUGUUUUCUUUAUUAUUUUGGUUAGGUCAGGGUGUGACGAGGGUGGUAUGUGUGUUUUUGUCUUGUCUAGGGUUUUGAGUAUGUCUAGGUGUGUAGUCUAGGCAUUAUGUAGGUCUAUGGUGGCCUGGAUUGGUUCCCAAUCAGAGGCAGCUGUUUAUCGUUGUCUCUGAUUGGGGAUCCUAUUUAGGUUGCCAUUUUCCAGUUUGGUUUGUGGGUGAUUGUCUAUGUGAUGUUGCAUGUCUGCCAUCAUUAUAUUUAGCGUCACGUUCGUUUUGUAUUAGUUAAGUGUUCUUUGUUUCAUUAAAGAAGAUGUAUUCACAUCACGCUGCGCUUUGGUCUCCUCACUAUGACAAUAAAGUCUUAGGAUAGCAUUCAUUAUUAGUGUUACAUAGAUUCCUGAAUUGACAGAAUUGAAACUCAUACGGAGUUUUCACAGAUGCUCUUGUUGAUCUCUUACGACACUAAAGGUCAAUAUAUUUCUUUCAUUUAAAACCACUUGAAAACCAGGGUGUUGAAACAUUUUGUGAAGUUAUGUUCCAUCGACUGGUCCAUGACAUCCAGGGGCCAUUUGUUUGUUUAGCUGUGUUAUGGCUACAUAUUAUUUUCUUUUUUCAGAGACAGAGACACACACACACCUCUCCUCCACUCCUCUCUGUACCUCAGAUCUCCAGUGCCCUGCCCUCUCUCUCUUUAUGGCCAUGUCUGAAGUUUCCCUACUACGUCUAGGCUUUAUGAGUAGUCUCUGUAUCGUUCUGCAAUUGUGCCAAAAAUACAUGCUCUUGUUCUCUUACAGAUUACAAGCUACACAUUCAUAUAUAUAUAUUUUUUUUACACGUACACACACCUCUUUCAGUAGUUUUAUUUUUUUAAACAUUUUUACAACACACAUACCUCUCAUGUUCUUUCCUGUACUUGAAUACUUAUUAAAUUAUAACGUUUUCAUAGUCAGUUGUGUGACGACCCUCCCACUCUGUCUGCCGUAUUCUCUCUUUGUUCUUGUUUCCUUAUUCGGAUGCCGGUGGGCGGAGUUGGGAGGGUCGUCAGCUACAUGGGAAACACCUGGGCCCGGUGUCUCCCAGGAUAAAUACACCACUUCUCCAUUCAUGGAGGAGACUCUCCAUGCAGACACCUUUAUAGAUUUUGUUGUGUUUCUUGGUGUUUUUUUGGUUGUUUGCUUUAGCAUCUUUCAACACCCUGCAUUAUCACAUUCAUGCAUGCAAAACACUCACUUACACUACUGAUUACACACACCAUUGUAUAUUAUACCUAGUUACUUUACUUAAUAAAUAUAUAUAUUGUUACUCCUUA